ensembl:lncRNA
GCUAAGCUGCCCAUUCUGUAACUGCCAGCCAGUGUAAUGCACUGACCGCACAAUGCCAGUAACAGAGGCUCUAGAAACAUCCUGGCCUUUGUGUGCAAAUCCUCACCAACAACUGAACUGACAAGCGAUUCUCGACAUACGGAUCAGGUUUUUUAAAACAAAGUUGUAGGCAUAACUAAAGGACAGGAUUAAACUAGAGAUCCUGUCUACACGCAAAGCUGUUGUGGCCCUUUCGGGGGAACGGUGUCUUUUCAGGGGGCCAGAGAUUGGGCUUGUUCUCUUUGUUGUGGUGUAAUUAUUGUAAUUUGUGGUUAUUUAAAGUGUUGACCCAUUCCUAAGCAACAUGACUGAUCAUGUGUCUGAGAAUAAUGCUGCUUUGCACAAAUAAUGCAGGAUCUCAUAUAUUUUUCACAUAUUUUAUGACAUAAGAUACCUUUAUGUCUAAUAUAUGUGAAUUUUGAAUAAUUAAUCUAAUCGCAAAUACAGUGUUGCAUAACUCAUACCCUUUUAUUAAUGAGAGCAGAUAUGAAGCAUAUGUGUCGCCCUCUAGAACUUUUUGAGACUGAUGAGAUUUAUUGUGUCAGUUUUGACCUGUUGCCAUGUUCUUGUCCCCUCAAGUUUCAAACGGAUACAUGGCCAAUCUGAAUCCUCAUGCAUAAUUGGAUCAUUUAAUCAUAGUGUGUGCGUGUGUGUGUGUGUGUGUGUGCACGUGGGUGUUGUGUGGUUGGCUCGUCUGAAAUCCUCAGGCUCAGUCUACUAGCACAGAUGUGUUCUGACAGCAGCAGUAUUAAUAUUUCAGCAUCAACAGCAGAGACAGCCUGCUGGUGUUGGGCCCUGAUUCAAACCCGCAACCAGCAGAUGAGUGGGCACAUCCAACAUAAACAUCCUGCCUCCAUACCAUCAGCUCAAGCCAACACACCUGUGUCAACAUACAGUAGAAAAAGAAGACAGUUUGAUAGUUAAUUAUCAGUCAAUUCCAAGUAAUCCAGUACGCAAAGAUGAAACUUUAUCAUGUCAGGGGUGUGACUGUUGGAAUUUUUAAAGUUUACUGAUAUUAAAAUCUAAUUCAGUGUGUAAUUCAGUAGAUUCUUGUUUUGAGCUGCAUUCAUUUUGCUUCAUUCGUUAGUCAGUGG